CUGGGGAGUACGGUCGCAAGAUUAAAACUCAAAGGAAUUGACGGGGACCCGCACAAGCGGUGGAUGAUGUGGAUUAAUUCGAUGCAACGCGAAAAACCUUACCUACCCUUGACAUGGCUGGAAUCCCUGAGAGAUUGGGGAGUGCUCGAAAGAGAACCAGUACACAGGUGCUGCAUGGCUGUCGUCAGCUCGUGUCGUGAGAUGUUGGGUUAAGUCCCGCAACGAGCGCAACCCUUGUCAUUAGUUGCUACGAAAGGGCACUCUAAUGAGACUGCCGGUG
rnacentral:rRNA from 1 species